CGUGCACCAGGGGGGUCCCUCGGCCUGGCCUGCACCCUCUCGCAAUCUGGGACCCCUCGGGGAAUGUUAGAGAGUUUUUAUGGCCGGAUUCCGCAGGUCAGGCUGAGGGACCCCACUGGUGCACA
rnacentral:pre_miRNA from 1 species